AACAGACGAGAUCAGGACUCGGAAUAAAGGAGACGAAAACUGGAUUAAGUGGAUGGAGCAGAGAAAAACAAUGAGAGAGAGAGGAGAGAAAGAGGUAAGAAUGAGGGAUGUUUGUGUACGAAUGUGCUCAUGGAGGGAGAGGUGAUGGUGUGAUGGAGGGAUGGAGGAAGAAAUAGAGGAGGAGAAGUGGGUGUGGCCAAGGUUUGAACCCACUCCCACCUCCUUCUACAACUGAGUUUAUCAGGUUUAUCACUGCGUAACAAUAACUCAUAAUCAACAGGGAAAUUUAAACAUUUAAAAGGUUGAAUUAUAUCAUUUAGGUGCAGAUUUUGCAGAUAGAACUUUACGAGUUUCUUUAUGUUGCUUUAAGCUGCUGUGAUUGUUAUUUUCACACGUAAAGGUUGUGAUGAAACCUUAAAGGUACCUUAAAACCUUAUGAGGCUUUGUGAUUGUCCUCCAUAUAAAGUAUUACCUUAACUUCUAAUACAAAAUGUCAAAAGUCAAAAAUUCACUUUUAAUCCAGUACAUUUCUCUCAAUAAUGUAAAAGAAAGUUUAUAUACAUGUACACAACUUUGAACAAAUGUAAACUGUACCAUUAAAGCGAAAUUAUCUACACUAACUUAUAUACAUAAAUACACAAAUAAAGUUAGUAUAAGUCUCGACUUAUGUGAACUCUUUCCAGUCUUCACAAAUUAAAUUAACACUGAAUAAAUCGAAAGGGUUUGGGUCACAAUUAAGUGAGUCUAGACGGUUUAGGAGGUCAUUAUACAGAGUAAUGACACCAAACAGAGGCGGCCGCGGUCGAAGGUCCUCGUCCAAGUUCAGCCAUAAACAAAAGAAAAUAGAAAAGAGCUCCACUGUACGAGUUUAUUUAACUGGGAAAGUUUAUUUUGAUUAUUUGAAAUGAAAAUAUCUCCAUUUAUCUUAAAUCCACUGAAGUUAAAGAGAAAUUUUGAGGCAGAAAAGUCACCAACUUUAUUUUACCUCAAACAACAUUUGAUUUUAUAGUCUUUGUCUUCUUUUUCUUCAUGUGACUCCAUUUUUAGUCCACAUUUUUAAUUAUUCCUUAAAUUUUGACCACGUUUAUCCCCAACUUUCACUUCUCUUACUUUCAAAACUGAAGUCCAUUAAAUAUUAGAAAUGUCCCUUUAAGACUCAGACACUGAGAAUACUGGAAACAUUUAGACAAAUCAGAUCAGCUGGUUCUCACUGGUUUGACAAUCUUUACUUUUACUCAAGAAUAACUUUGACUACUUCACACUCUUUAAUUUUUAUCUGAGCUGAGAAACAUCUCUAACUCUCGUCAAAAGUGAACUCGAGUUACACAAACCCCAAAUUCAAGCAGUUUUUUUGGAUUUAUCAAGAAUUUUUAAAAAUUAACUUCUUGUAAUUUUAUUUCUACUGUUUCUAAAAUUGGGGAAAAAUCUACACAUGAACUUUUCUCUUUUUUAUGCAGGUUUUAAAAUACUUAAACAUCCAGUUGCUGUAACAGGAAUUUUUUAACGUCUUUGCUCUCACGUCUGGUCUGAGAUGCAGGGUCACCUUAGGUUAAAUCUUUUUUUCAGGUUUUUUAUAUUCAAUAACAAGAAAUUAAUUAUCAUCUGAACCAUUUUUGCUGCUGAAUACUGAUAAUUCAUCGAUGAUAUAAUGGGUUCGUAUUAUUAACUGUAUUUAAAAACUUUUUUUGAUGUUGUCUGUAAAAUAGAUUUUGUAUCUCGCUGGGAAUAUUCCUAUAAGACAAUAAUCUAAAUAAAUAAAAUGAAUAAAAAUAGGUUAGUUUUGCCUGAGAGCACAUACUUAUGUUCUGAUAUACAGUCUACUCUACUGUAGAGUAUUUCUGUGUGAGAGUAGCUGUGAGAUCGACACAGUUUGAAUGAGUAAGACAAGAACAUGGAGGAAGAGGUGUGUGUAGGAGAGCUGACGAGUUUUAAUCAUUACUUUUUAGCUAAAUCAGAACUCUACGCUCUCGCUUCGCCUCCUAACAAAGAUCUUACUGUUUUCAAAUCUAUACUAUAAUUUAUUUAUGAUCGGAAGAGAAAGCAGGAUGAGAUUUUAAGAAGGAAAAAAAAAAAUUUGAAUGUGUCGUGAAAUUAGCAACAGAAUAAGAGAUACGGUUUGUCCACAGGGGGCGCCAAAAUUAACACAAACUGGAGGCUUGCGGCAGGAGCUUUAAAGUUAAAAUUAUAAGGAGAAAAGUUUUGAUGCGGGACAUAUUUAAACUGAGCGUGUGAAGUGACAGAUAGUAAAGCCCCUCUCGGGAACUUCCUGUUUGUGUCGAUUUUGGCGCCCCCUGUGGACAUAUAGAUCUCCCUUUUGUGUUUUUGCGUAUUUUCUUUUGUUCUGUCUGAUCCUGCUUUCUGUUUACAUCCAAAUAGGCCCCUUUUUAGAAAUAUUUGCAGUGUGAAAAGUUAAAAAAGAGGUUUCAUCUUCCUUCUUCUGUAAAUUGACUCACCUGGCGCCCACCCCUCACAGCAGCUAAAGACAUUAAACAUUUCAAAACGCAGACAUUGUAAAUCAGGCUGAUAGUAUGAUUUUAGGGGGUGUAGAGAAGCUUUGUUGUUAAUUUCAGCCUGUUUCAUAAGCAGAUAAAAACUCCUCAUUGGAGCUUUAAGGUUUCUCUUUGUGUUUAAAAAAAUCAACCUUCAAUUUUAUCUCACAGAAAACAGAUAAAAAGCUGGAAGAGGUGAUUUAGUUUGAUAAUUCCUGAUUAAGAGUGAAAUAUGCCACAUUUAAGAAUAAUUCAUGAUUGUUUCAGACACUUUCAAAGAUGGUUCCUGUUAGUCUGCCAAGACAAACACCUCUAUCAGUGUCAGUGUGUCAGCUGCUGCCAGCCCACAGUCUGCUGAGUGUGUGUGUGUGUGUGUUAGAGUGUGUGUGAAUGCAUGUAUUUGUGUGUGCGUGUGUGUGUGUGGGGCUGCAGACAGUGCCACUGUGUGCCCUCCUUGUCCAGACACUCUGCUUCCUCUCCUGUCAUGACCCGCAGACGGAGCAUGAUCGGGCCGUCUGUGCCACUUUGUGCCGGGUUCAGCAGACGGCUUCCCCUUCUGACAUCAUCACUGUGAGACGGUGAUGUAGCUGUCGUUACAGGAGACGGGGCAAAAGCCAGCGACACAGGACACUGACGGAGUGUCUGCUGUUUUCUUGUUCGGUGUACAGUGGCUGGUGUGUUAUUUUCCCCGUUGAAUUAGACUUUUGUUGUCUGGUAGAGAAGGGCAAUUUUAUUAAAAAAAGAAAAAAGACGGUAAAACUUAAACACUGGAAACUGACCUGCAUGCUCCUUUACUACUCAUCAUUAUAGAAAAUAUAAUAAUUUAAAGGUUCUCUUUAUUUAAAUGAGCUGCAAACAGGUUCAAACGUUUAUAAAAUUAUUUCUAAACAUUAAAGAUAAAUAAUCUUUAUUUUCCUGAUUGCUAAAGUGUCCUCCUGCAGUCAGAGGAACUCAAUCCAGAGGGGGAAAAACCUGUUAGAGAAACUCGGCCGAGCAACAGGUGUCCGAUCACAGAGUUAGAGUGACACCUACAGUACAAAACUCAGGGUGAAAAAACACACACACACACACCGGCUCAGGCUGGAGUCAGGGGGAAACACAAAUCCAGCCUGCAGGGGAGGCCUGAACUCAGAGACCUGCUGGAGGAGCUCUCAGCAAACACCGGCCUCAAAAAGUUACGAACAUCUUUGUGCAUAUUAAAAAAACAGUUUGAAGGAAAUAGAUUUUAUUACUUAUUUUGAAAGGUUUUUUUCUACAAGAAUAUAAAACAGGACUAAAUAACAACAAAAACAAACCAGACUUUGUGACACUGUCUUUUCUAUUGUGCAUGUUUCUUCUUUAUCUUAUUCUGCUUGAUUUUACCUUUUAAACGAAUCUUUUCAGAUAUGUGAACCUUAAUAGAUAUCUCAUUCCUACAAAAACUUUUAAAAAAGUCAUGCAAAAUUCUCAAAUUUGUGUGACUAAGAAAUUCCGCUUCAACUAUUUUUUGAAAAGUCAAAAAGGAUUUAGACUUGUAGAAACUAUUCCCUUUGUUCUGCAUAAGACGGUUAUUCAUCGUUAAUUUAUUUCUUUUUACCUUGUUUAAGAGAAAUAUAGGACUACGUUUGUUGUUAGAAGUACUUUAAUAAAUAUAUUUAAGUAUUCAGUUUGAUACUUUUCUUUUUGCAUGAAGUGACGUGUUUGUGGACACCAGGGAAGUAGAUAAGAACUGUAUUUACUGUUUGUUGGACAGUUUUGUUCAGAGUCGGCCCAAACCUCAAUGAGGCCCUGAGCAGAAUUUGAUUUUGGGGCCCUCUGUUUCUGCCAAUAAUAUUGAUUGUUGAUCAUUCACUCACCUUCACAAAUCUCUUUGGUUAACAUUCCAUGACGUGCAGACAUACCUUUAUCUUCUUCCUCUUUCUUUUCUCUGCUCCUGAAGGAUACGUCCUUUUUUGCGACAUUGUUUUUCCCACAACUACCUGCUCUUUGGAUGCUCAGUGCACAUAACAGCAGCAGAGUUUGACAUAUCGGCAGUAAGAAUAAUAGGCCUACAUCAGCAGCAGCUCGAAAAUGUUUUUACUUUAUUUUAUUUUACAAUAAUAUAUAUUUGAUCAGACAGAAAGAAUCGCUCAUACAUGCAAAAAAUAAAAAUUAUCAUUAUUAUUAUUUUGAUUGCUCUUAGGGGCCCCCUAUUGGCCGCGUGGCCCUAAGCAGGCUUUUAGUUCGCUUGUGCCUUGGGCCGGCUCUGGUUUUGUUCAAUAAACACAAAAGAAAACAUAUUUUUGUUGACGGAUAUUGACAAUGUACUUUUUACUAUAAAUGUUCCACACAAAAUUUGACGUAAAUGGAAUUGAUAAGUAGAAUUGGUUGAUAACAGGGGCGUAUCUAAACUUUUUGAUUGGGGUGGCCCAACCGAACAACAAACAAAGGGUGCGGUGGCCUGGAUGAGAGCACACACACACACACAUUAUCGUUAAAGUACCAAUUCGCUGUGAUUAGUCUUUUAAACCUUACAAAAAAUUUAAUAGAAGCACUGCACAUUAAUCUUCGUAGUUUGUCGUGAAUUCUGUUUGAUAUCGGAAGUCAGACAUUCAGAUUCAUCACUGGGAACGUCACUUGAAAACCCUUAAAAACUCAGAGCAACUUUAUAUACUUCAAACCAUAAAUCCAAGAAGGAUGCUUGACUUUUAACGUUGUCUAUUAGCAACUUAAUCUGUUCAUUUUUUUAAUCAUAAAGACAAUAUCGUAAAUAUUUUAUGUGACUUUAUUUUAUGUUGCUUUGACGUACAAAUGCUCACACUGAGUGUUUUUAUUUCCUGGUAAAACUAGCAACGCACAACUUGAGUGCAAUUAACUGUCAUGUGGGCGGAGUCAAACAUCCAACCUGAGAAGAAACGAUUUAUCUAGACUCACAAUUUUUUUAAUUAGCCAAAAACUCCUUAUAUGAGCUUUAAUGAUGACAGUGAGAGUAGCUAUAGCUUGACUUCUGUGGAUAAACUCUCAGGAGACAUUUGUGAACACUCCCCCUCUGUUGUUUUGUAACAGCCCGUGUGUAUCCGUGCGUUAAUGUGCUCGGUAACUAAUCACGGGCGGAUAUCGUCAUUGACUCUCUUUUAAUAGACUCGGUCAUCAUCCUCUGCUCCAAACCAACGCAGAGACAAAUCCCCCCGCGGGGACCUGACUCACCGCUGCUGCUUAUCUCAGCUGUGACACACUCAGAUCCAACACACACACACACACACACACACACAACGCCGCAGCCUCAUUUAUUUAUGUGUGUUAAGUCAUGAAAUAUAGUAACAUGAGCACGGGCUCGGUCUGUGGCUGCAUGCUGAGGUGAUUUCAAGAGGCAAACACUCACCAGAAAUUAAAGAUGUUGUUUAGUGCUUUUAAGAAAUCCACACUGGCUUCUACCACCCAAUUAUUGCAGGUUUUAGUUCAUCAAAUUCACUUUUUACUCCAUUUUUGGCGAAAACAUCACGAUUAACGCGAUACUAUUUGGACAAAAUUGAAGAUCCUUUUUUGGUACUGUAUAUUUUAAGGAAAUGGGGUCUUCUAAAGCGAUUUAAUUUUGCAUUUGAGAGGCAAAAAUAGCACAAAAGACGUAUCUGAUGUUUGCUUUUAAUAUCCAGAUUGAUGUGAGGAUAUUCAGUCAUAAAAAAAAAAAGAUAAAAAUGUCUCUUUGACGAGAAAGUAGAAGCUGUGUUACUCUAUUAUAUCUACUGUCUGAUAAUAAUGUUUUGCCUUUUUCUUUGUCGUGCAAACUCCCACCAAAACCCGAGCUAGUUUGAGAUCAUAUCGAGGUAAUGAAAUAUUAUAAACUUCUGCUUUUUUCAUGUAAAGAGUUUCUUUCUAGAGCAAAGUCAUGACAUGCUUUUAUGGCUUUUGAUCAUUAAGAAAAUAUGGAGUUGUAACACUGAAAUUCUUCGACUUUUUCAGGCGUUAUUAUCACCGUGAAAGCAUCAGUUUGGGAGAAAAUGGAGUUGGUAUUCUUUUUAAAGCGCAAAUAGUUUCAAGAUACUAUGAGUUCACUGAGACGAGAUUUCUUUUCUUUUUUUUCAAGAAAUCCAUCAAAAAGUGACUUUUUUUUGCAGAGGUUGUCAAGGCUUAAGCUUUCUUCUUGUGGAUUUAAGAUACAAAUGGAUAGUAGGAGAUAAUAUUCAUCUUUUGUUGGGAGUAAAGGAACCUCAAAAUAAAAGAGCGAUUCCACAGAAAAUAGACUUUGACUUGCUUUUGAUGACACCAAAUGGUUUUGGGUUGUUCUGGGGUGAUGAGGAAUUACGCUUUUUUUCCAUUUUUUUGGUCAAAAAGUAGGAUAAAAAGGGUUGAUCUGAACAAAUGUGAAAGAUUUGAAACUCUUUGUAUGACGACAAACUGUUCAAGGAUAUUAAGGGUCAUCAAACUGAAUUCUGAGAGUUUUUACAGGCCAAAAAAAUGCCAUUAAAGUCUGAUUCUGGACCAAAAAUAGAGUUGGAUAUGCUUUCUAUGUUGCUACACGGUUUAAAGAUACUUAAAAUAAAAUGAUGUAUUUUCGAAGGCACAGAAGAAUCAAAAAGUGUCUUUUCAACACAAUAACUCGACUCAGACAUUGUCCACAAAUACACAUUGGUAAGAAACACAAUUGAACCAUAAAAAAUAAUAUUCCUCAGCCUUUGUUGGGGAAAAAAAUCACAAUAAAGGUGCGAAAUUGGAAAAGAAAACAGACUUGACUUGCUUUUCGAUGUUACAGGAUGGUUUAAAGAUAUCCUGAGGAGUUUUUGAUCCUGAAAAAUGCACAAACAUGGUGUUGAUUUGGACAAGAAAACAAAGCUAAGGCAUAUUUUUCUUAAUGAUAUAAAUUUUUUCUUUAUGGGCAGCUCAGUUGUGAUGGUUAAAGAGAGAGUUGAGGCCGGGGUCGAGGCUUUAUGAGGUAAAAAUGACAUGAUUGCAGCACUACACUGCACUUUUAAACAACAAAAACAAAAUAGUUUUCUAAUAAAACUGAGAAAACGAUGUAUUUGUUAAUAAAUUAUGAAACUACAACACUAAACAUCCUACAGGUGGACACGUACAGCUCUUUACUGAGCAGCUGUUUCUGUUAUAGAGUAACAUAAGAGUAGGAAAAAUGCUCUAAAUCUGGUCAUGGUUGUAUUUAUUCUACAGUGGAGUCACAGGGAGGCCAGCUGUAUCUGCAAGGCUCUUCUGUCACUCUGCAUCCUGUCUCCUACCCUCCCUUCCUCGUCCCUUUCCCUCUCUCCCUGCUUCCUCUGCUCUAUAUUCCCAGAAACGUGAAUCCCUGUCUGAUCCCUCUGCAACAUAAACCUCCUCUUUUCCCUCCUCCUUGGUAAAAACCUCUUUACUCCUGCUCUCCCGUCUAAGGCCCUUGUUUUGUGCAGAGGUCCUGACCCCUGCUGCCCUCCUGUUGACCUUUUCGCAGGUUAGCUCCUCUGUCAGUUGCAGCUGCGGUGCUGCGAAAAGCCCCGAUAAUCCAAUCACACAGUCAUUAGCGGCGAGGAGGCCUGAGCCGGAGCAGGUGAGUGUGUUUGUGUCACUCACCGCUUCAUUAUGUUUCUCUCUAACCUUUUCCUGCACUCUCUCUCUCUCUUUUGAAUUAAGAAAUCAGCUUUUACCUUUAAAAUAAUCCUACAAAUGUCCCCUCACGCCACAGAAACACAGCUGAUCAAUCAACGUCUGCUCAGAUGAUUAAAUCUGUACAUGCAAAACGCUCCAGCAUCAUCAUUCAUCAGUUUUAUUUCCACGCAGGUCUGAAUGUAAAUGAGGAAGGUGUUGCCAGGGAUGAGCUUUUCUUCAUCACGAGUAUGUAAGGAGUCAAGUCAGAUAUAUCAAAAUUACACAGGAUCAAGCGGAGAUGUUUAGGAGUGAAUGAAAUCCUGAUUGUUAAUAACACUAAAGACCAAUUAAAAUUCUGAGAGGACGAGGGAUGGUGCCCACGUCUUCUAAUUUGAGGUUUUGUUCUUCUUCUACCUGCCUGUCACCAUGGUGAUGUUUCCGUCAUCGUCACCGGAACCUGCCUAAUCGAUCGCCGUGAGAAAAUAUGAAUCGAGUUUCAGUACUCGAGUAUAAAACUCAUGGACUUGGCUCAAAACUUUUCUGCCUUUACUGCAUCAUCCAAUUUGGAAUCCUUACAUGUAUUUCAUUAAAAAUGUCCAUAUUUACCAAAUAUCAAAGCAUGUCAAGAUUAAAACUUUUUCGUUAAGAAUCACAUAUUUCAUUUAAUGUACUUAUUCAGUCACAAAAUAUGCAAUUUAAUGUUUUUAUACAGUCCAAAGCAGACACACAUCUAUACAUUUGAUUACCUAGCUGUGUCAAAUAUUCAACCUGAUCUGACCCAUAAGAAAUGCAAUUAAUUCUUCAUAGCAACAGCCAUGCCAGGGACAACCUGAUCACACAUCUCAGAUUAAUGUUAGGGAAGGAGUCCAGGAAAUUUCACUUUUAUCUUUUGACAGUGUGGCAAAAAUGUUAUUUUUUUGUCUCAGGGCGCUCAUGAAGGUGAAAUAAUGGCUGUCACCACACGUGAAAGACCAUCUCUGAUAAUGAGACGCUGUCCUGCAUGACUGGUGAGU